rnacentral:lncRNA from 1 species
GAACAGGGGUGACACCACCAGGUUUAUUGGGAUGGAGCUGGGGGACCCCAAAACCGCAGGGACAGUCGGACGGAGCGUCAGUCGGACAGAGGGACAGACAGGACAGUGUCACUGCACUGUGGCCAUGGGCUCAUGAUGGUCACUGCGGUCAGGAACUGUCCCCAGGGUGGUCAUGAUGGUCACUGUGAUGGUCACUGUGGUCAGGAGCUGUCCCCAGGGUGGUCACUGUGGUCACUGUGGUCAGGAACUGUCCCCA